CGCGAACGCACCUUCGGGUGUUAUUAGAGUGGCGGACGGGUGAGUAACACGUGGGAACAUGCCUUUCGGUACGGAACAACGCUUGGAAACGAGUGCUAAUACCGUAUACGCCCUUCGGGGGAAAGAUUUAUCGCCGAAAGAUUGGCCCGCGCUAGAUUAGCUAGUUGGUAAGGUAAUGGCUUACCAAGGCGACGAUCUAUAGCUGGUUUGAGAGGAUGAUCAGCCACACUGGGACUGAGACACGGCCCAGACUCCUACGGGAGGCAGCAGUGGGGAAUAUUGGACAAUGGGGGCAACCCUGAUCCAGCGAUGCCGCGUGAGUGAUGAAGGCCUUAGGGUUGUAAAACUCUUUCAGAUGGGAUGAUAAUGACAGUAUCUGGUAAAGAAACCCCGGCUAACUCCGUGCCAGCAGCCGCGGUAAUACGGAGGGGGUUAGCGUUGUUCGGAAUUACUGGGCGUAAAGCGUACGUAGGCGGAUCAGAAAGUAGGGGGUGAAAUCCCGAGGCUCAACCUCGGAACUGCCUCCUAAACUCCUGGUCUUGAGUUCGAGAGAGGUGAGUGGAAUUCCAAGUGUAGAGGUGAAAUUCGUAGAUAUUUGGAGGAACACCAGUGGCGA
rnacentral:rRNA from 1 species